UUAAUAGGGACGCAUCUGGCGGGUCCCCAUUAUGUAUGACGUCUGUUGAAGUGUCUGUGAGUAACGUGGGAAUCCCCUUCUCUCUUCCUCUGAUGGGAACCAACGUUGGAAAUGGGCGUAUGGUUGUUCUCCUUCCAUCUGUUAAUGAUGAAUUAUACUAGUACAUUAUAGAUGCUUAAUUAUUUAGGAAUCCUCAAGCCUGAACUGGUCAUACUGUAUCGAUUUUACAUAAAUUGAUGGAUUAAGCACAUUAAUAUUUCUUUAGGACUUUUUAAUAUUGUUUCCUUGUUGGCAAUAUGAAUGACAUAUAAUCAUCAUAAACUAGAUAAAAAGGUUUUCCUUAGGUUUUUGUGCCCUAGAAUACUUGGCAUAAAACAGAAGUUCUUGUUCCAGAAAUUUGGGGGAAUUCUCCUGGCGACUUAUUCCUCCCAUUGAGUGACACCAGCCCAGCUGCACAACCCGCCUUGACCAGGGAGUGUGCAGGGAGAGCAUUUGCUAGUGGAUGCCCACUGUCCACCUCCUUCCCUCCCUCCCUCUCUCUGCGAGGACCUGAGUCUUUCAUCCUUCCAGGGGUUCAGGAACUUACCAAGGACGUGAAAGCUCACACCCAUACAGAGAUGUGUCCCUGAGUGCUCCCAGCAGCUUUGUUUGUAAGAGCGAACACUGGAAAUGAGUGCUCAUCAAGGAAAUGGAUAAAUGAAGUCCUUUCUGUGCCCCAAGGCCUUUGGAACCACAGAUCACUGGAAUACAUCUCCUGCAUUCCACAGAGAAUAUAAAAAGAAGCUGGAUGACGUUCCCUUUCCCUUGAAAUUGUGCUGAUUCAAGAAAAUGGGCUGCACGCUGCGGCUCCUGACAUUGAAUUCCAUCGAGCAGAGAAAUGAGGGGGAAAUAAGAUAUUCCUGACAAAGGAGAACGGAGACUAUUUCCUGCCAGCAAACUAUCCUUACAGAAUGACUACAGGAAGUUCUCUGAGCAGAAAGAAAGUGAGCUCAGAAGGCUUAGAGCCCCAGAAAGGGAAGAAGGACAUCAGCAUGUGCAACAUUGGCGGGCGGGGCGGGGGGCGGCGAUAUAAUAGACUGUCCUACUUCUCAUGAGCUUCUUCAAUCAUACUCAAUGCUUGAAGCAAAAAUUGUAAUACUACAAUCAGCAAUGGAUUGCUCCUGUGGUACAUCCUUUCCCUCAUCUUUUGUUUCUACACUAUCUGUGUCACUAAGUGUUUUUACCCAAUCUUUGUAUUUUAACCAGAGUGAUUAUACCAUUUACAUUUAAUGAAUACUUACUUGGGUUUAUGUUUAUGUUCUUGUUGCUUUUCAUUUGUCUUCUGGUCUUUGUUCUUUUUCUCCUCUCUUCCUGAUCUUCUUAAGUUCAGCAAGUAUGUUUUAUCUUUCCAUUUUAUCUCCUCAACAGGUUUGCUAGCUAUAAUGCUCUCGGGUUUAUAAUUUGUAGCUUCUGCAUAUCAGAAUCUAUCUUCCUCAAAGAACCUGAUAUCAGUGUAUUACCACUUCACUUGCAUGUAAAUUUUGCUAUUUACUUGUUAUACAUUUUGUACUGACAGUUGGCAUAAUUCUGCCUCAAAUAUAUUCAUUUAUUGUUGUUAUUUGUAUUUGAAACAUUCUAUUACCUAUUUUCAGAUUCACAUUGUUAUUGUUUUUCCUUAAACUUUCUAUUUUCAGAGAAUGAUAGAUUCACCUGCAGCUGUAAUAAGUAAUACAGAGAAGAUUCCCUGUGUGCAUUGUCAACUUUUCCCCAAUGAGAGUAUCUUGUAAAAUUAUAACAAAAGUAAUAAAACCAGGAUCUUGACAUGCAUGCAGAACAUUCAAGAUACAGAACAUUCCAUCCCCCACAAGGGACCCUCAUGUUGUCUUUUGUAGCUCAUGUCUACCUCCCUUCUCUGAUGCCCACAUGGAUUCCUGGCAACCUUACUCCAUUUCUGUAUUUUUAUUUCAAUAACAUGAUGUAAAUGGAGUCACACAGUGUGUGACACCUGGGACACUCUUUUUCACUCAGUUCACUCCCUACACAUUCUUCUGUGUUGUUGCAUGUAUCAAAACAUCAGUCCUGCUUAUUAGGGUGUAGUAUUUCCCAGUGUGGAUGUACCAUGGUUUGUUAAAACACCUGCUUGUUCAAGGACAUCUCAGUUGUCUCCAGUGUGGGCUUUACCAAUAAAUCUGCAAUGAGUAUUCCUGUAGAGGCUUUUGUGUAAACAUAAGUUCUCAUUCCUCUGUGCUAAAUGCCAAGAAUGCUGGUUUACUGUAGUCAUAUGGUAGCUGCAUGUAGAGUUCUUUUUCUCUAAGACACUUCUACAUUGUUUUCCUGAGUUACUGUACUAUUUUAUAUUCUUACCAGCAUUUGGUGUUGUCACUAUUCUUUUAGCUAGUCUGGUAAGUAUGCAAUGGUAUCUUAUUGUGGCUUUAAUUUACAUUUCUCUAAUGGUUAAUGAUGCUAAACAUCUUUUAAUGAACUUAUUUGCCAUCUGUGUUUCUUCGAUGACAUGUCUCUUCAUAUUUUUCUGCCCAUUUUUCUAUUUGGAUUAUUUGUUUUUCUUUACUAUUGAGUUCUGAGUGUUCUUUAUAUAUUCUAGAUACAAGUCUCUUGUCAGAUAUAUGCUCUGCAAUAUAUUUUCUCGCUCUGUAAUUUGUUUUUUCAUCCUCCAAAGAGGAUCAUUCAUGGAACAAAAGAUUUCUCUUUUGAUGGGGGUUCAACUUAAUGAAUCUUCCUUUCAAUAGAUCAAUAUAUAUCAAUAUAUAUAUUUCAAUAUAUUCAAUAUAUUAAUUAUGUUUUUUGUGUCAAUUCUUCACACAGUCCUGGAUCCUGGACAUUUUCUUCUACAUUUUCCCCCCAAAUUUAUAGUUUGACAUUUUACAUUUAGGAUCAAUUAGUAAUUAAUUUUGGCAUAAGUUAUGAGGUUAACGUAUAUAUAUUUCACCUAUAAAUGUCCAGUUGCUCUAGAGUCAUUUUUCUGCACCUUCAUUGAUUGUUUUUACAUCAUGGUCAAAAGUCAACUGUGCACAUUUGUAUCAGUCUAGCUCUGAGCCCUCCAUUCUGUUCUGUUGGUCUAUGCAUCUAUCCCUUCACCACGAGCACAGUCCAAUCACCAUAACCUACGUAAUCAGUGUAACUAUGUAGUAAGUCUUGAAAUCUGGUACAGUGAUUCCUUUAAUUAUUUUUUAAGAUUUAUUUAUUUAUUUGAGAGAGAGAGAGAGAGAGAGAGAGAGAGACCAGCACGGGGAGGGGUAGAUGGAGAGAGAGUCUCAAGCAGACUCUGUGCUGAGUGUGGAGCGGGACUCGAUCUCACGACCCUGAGAUCAUGACCUGAGCCAAAACCAAGAGUCAUUGAUCUCACGACCCUGAGAUCAUGACCUGAGCCAAAACCAAGAGUCAGAUACUCAACCGACUGCACCACCCAGAUGACCCAAUUCCUUUCAUUUUAUUUUUCUUUGUCCAGAUCAUUUUGGCUAUUCUAGUUUGUUUGCCUUUGCAUGUAAAUUUCAAAAUAAACUUGUUUACAGAAACAAUCUUGAGGAUUUUGUUAGGACUUGUGGUAAACCUGUAUACCAACUUAGGGAUAUUUCACACCCUCCCUAUUUCAAGUCUUCCAAUUUGUGAACACAGUUGUAUCUAUUAAAACCUUCUUUGAUUUUUUUCACCAAAUUUUGUAAUUUU